UAGUGGAGAUGCAAAUAGAACUGUUACGACCAACUCCUUACCUGGUUUUGUUUCUGGUGGUUCAAUUAGCAGAGAUGCAAAUAGAACUGAGACAAUCAGUCAGAAGACUCAGAACACUGGAGGAAAUCCUAAUCAGACCAAAGAAAGUUCCAGGGAUCGGGGUAGGGAAAGGCGAAGGCCAUCUGGUUGGGACCAUUGAUGCUACUCUCACCUAGUCCCCUGGAUGAGAACAACUUUCUUCUAGGAUGACACUUAAAAUCUAUGUGUGGUUAUUUAUGCCGACCGAGUUCCUUCAUGUUCUUGUUGUUUAGCUACUACUUGUGUAUGAUUUCAUAUUUGAGUUUGUAGAAAGUUAUAAUUACUGCGUAUUAAUCAAUAUGAUUUCCUAAAUCCUUCUUUUGACUAUGGUUCAUAGCAGAAAUUUAGAAUUUUUGGUUAUUUAAAUUCUUAGAAAACUAGCCAUUCCAUCGAUGUGUAGUUGAUCUGUUGUACAUUUUCUAAAAUAAUUCUCAGUCAAGUUCAUUUUUUUAGAUAUAUAUAAUACUGGCAACUUAUGAUAAAA
rnacentral:misc_RNA from 1 species